UAAAUACGAGACGCUAAGGCGUCGAAGUAGUGUAUGUCAUACUUCCAAGAAAAGCUUGCACUGUCAUAGAUAAAAAACGCCUGUACCAUAACCGACACAGGUGGGUAGGUAGAGUAUACUAAGGGGCGCGAGAUAACUCUCUCUAAGGAACUCGGCAAAAUAACUCCGUAACUUCGGGAGAAGGAGUGCCUUAUUCGUAAGGUUGCAAUAACAAGAUCCAAGCAACUGUUUAUCAAAAACACAGGUCUCCGCUAAGUCGUAAGACGAUGUAUGGGGGCUGACGCCUGCCCAGUGCCAGAAGGUUAAAGAAGUUGGUUAGCAAUUGCGAAGCUGAUAACUGAAGCCCUGGUGAACGGCGGCCGUAACGAUAACGGUCCUAAGGUAGCAAAAUUCCUUGCCGGGUAAGUUCCGACCGCACGAAAGGCGUAAUGAUUUGGAUACUGUCUCGGAGAGGGGCUCGGUGAAAUAGACUUGUCUGUGAAGAUGCGGACUACCUGCACCAGGACAGAAAGACCCUAUGAAGCUUUACUGUAACUUGAAAUUGAAAUUGGACUUUAUUCGCGCAGUAUAGGUGGGAGGCGUUGAUUAUAAUCUUGUGGGAUUAUUGGAGCCAUCAGUGAGAUACCACUCUUGUAAUGUUAGAUUUCUAACUUUGAAUCAUUAUCUGGUCAAAGAACAGUUUCAGGCGGGCAGUUUGACUGGGGCGGUCGCCUCCUAAACGGUAACGGAGGCGUACAAAGGUUUCCUCUGAACGGUUAGAAAUCGUAUCUAGAGUGUAAAGGCAUAAGGAAGCUUGACUGUGAGACCUACAAGUCGAGCAGGGACGAAAGUCGGUCUUAGUGAUCUGACGGUACUGAGUGGAAAGGCCGUCACUCAACGGAUAAAAGUUACUCUAGGAUAACAGGCUGAUCUCCCCCAAGAGUUCACAUCGACGGGGAGGUUUGGCACCUUGAUGUCGGCUCAUCGCAUCCUGGGGCGGUAGUACGUCCCAAGGGUUGGGCUGUUCGCCCAUGAAAGCGGUACGCGAGCUGGGUUCAGAACGUCGUGAGACAGUUCGGUCCAUAUCCGGUGUAGGCGUUAGAAUAUUGAGAGGAGCCUUCUUUAGUACGAGAGGACCGAGAAGGACAUACCUCUGGUGUACCAGUUAUCGUGCCAACGGUAAACGCUGGGUAGCUAUGUAUGGAGUGGAUAACCGCUGAAAGCAUCUAAGUGGGAAGCCCACCUCAAGAUAAG
rnacentral:rRNA from 1 species